rnacentral:rRNA from 1 species
UACGGAGGGGACUAGCGUUGUUCGGAAUUACUGGGCGUAAAGCGCACGUAGGCGGAUUUGUAAGUCAGGGGUGAAAUCCCGGGGCUCAACCUCGGAACUGCCUUUGAUACUGCAAAUCUCGAGUCCGGAAGAGGUGAGUGGAAUUCCUAGUGUAGAGGUGAAAUUCGUAGAUAUUAGGAAGAACACCUGUGGCGAAAGCGGCGCACUGGACCACAACUGACGCUGAGGCGCGAAAGCUAGGGGAGCAAACAGG